CACGUAGGGGACGAGCGUUGUCCGGAUUCAUUGGGCGUAAAGGGCGCGUAGGCGGCCGUUCAAGUCGGAGGUGAAAGCCUGUGGCUCAACCACAGAAUGGCCCUCGAUACUGGAUGGCUCGAGACCGGAAGAGGUUGGUGGAACUGCGAGUGUAGAGGUGAAAUUCGUAGAUAUUCGCAAGAACACCAGUGGCGAAGGCGGCUCACUGGUCCGGUACUGACGCUGAGGUGGCGAAAGCGUGGGGAGCAACAGGA
rnacentral:rRNA from 1 species